GGAAUUUCUUCAUCUGAUUAUGUUAGUGAUCCGGAGGAGAAGGAUAUUAGUGAUGACGAAGAUGAUGAUCGCAACCAUAAGCAUCGGAGGCGGGAGACACGCUCUCAAUCUUUGGAAAGAGAUACACAUGAACAUGUUUUGAGGCCAUAUGGAAAGCGUAGUAAACCAUUUGAAAAUGGACGUAGUUUUAGGGACAACGAUUCUCAAGCCAAUGAAG
rnacentral:misc_RNA from 1 species